AACGAACGCUGGCGGCGUGUUUAAGACAUGCAAGUCGCACGGGACCCCAUGAGUAGCAAUACAAGUGUGGUUUAGUGGCGCACGGGUGAGUAACACGUGAAUCACAUGCCCUUCAGUGGGGGAUAGCCCAGGGAAACUUGGAUUAAUACCCCAUGGACUCGCAAGAGUAAAGGCGGCCGCAAGGCUGUCGCUGGAGGAUUGGUUCGCGCCCUAUCAGCUUGUUGGCGGGGUAACGGCCCACCAAGGCUACGACGGGUACCUGGUCUGAGAGGACGAUCAGGCACACUGGAACUGAGACACGGUCCAGACACCUACGGGUGGCAGCAGUCGAGAAUAAUUCACAAUGGGGGCAACCCUGAUGGUGCAACGCCGCGUGGAGGAUGACGGUCCUCGGAUUGUAAACUCCUGUCAUCCGGGAGUAAGACCUGGCUGUGAAUAGCAGACAGGGUUGAUAGUACCGGAAGAGGAAGGGACGGCUAACUUCGUG
rnacentral:rRNA from 1 species